UACAGAGGGGGCAAGCGUUGUUCGGAAUUACUGGGCGUAAAGGGCGCGUAGGUGGCCUGUUAAGUCGAACGUGAAAUCCCCGGGCUCAACCCGGGAACUGCGUCCGAUACUGGCAGGCUUGAAUUCGGGAGAGGGAUGCGGAAUUCCAGGUGUAGCGGUGAAAUGCGUAGAUAUCUGGAGGAACACCGGUGGCGAAGGCGGCAUCCUGGACCGAGAUUGACGCUGAGGCGCGAAAGCCAGGGGAGCAAACGGG
rnacentral:rRNA from 1 species